rnacentral:rRNA from 1 species
UAGGGAAUCUUCGGCAAUGGACGAAAGUCUGACCGAGCAACGCCGCGUGAGUGAAGAAGGUUUUCGGAUCGUAAAACUCUGUUGUUAGAGAAGAACAAGGACGUUAGUAACUGAACGUCCCCUGACGGUAUCUAACCAGAAAGCCACGGCUAACUACGUGCCAGCAGCCGCGGUAAUACGUAGGUGGCAAGCGUUGUCCGGAUUUAUUGGGCGUAAAGCGAGCGCAGGCGGUUUCUUAAGUCUGAUGUGAAAGCCCCCGGCUCAACCGGGGAGGGUCAUUGGAAACUGGGAGACUUGAGUGCAGAAGAGGAGACAGGAAUUCCAUGUGUAGCGGUGAAAUGCGUAGAUAUAUGGAGGAACACCAGUGGCGAAGGCGGCUCUCUGGUCUGUAACUGACGCUGAGGCUCGAAAGCGUGGGGAGCAAACAGG